UGACACCAAGUUUUCUCUCUCUAGUCAGCACACAGAAGUUACUUUGGCUGCCUUUGCAGGAGAAGAGAGCAAUCUCUUGCCAUGCAGGGAGGGAGGACGUGGUGUACUUCUAGCAUCAAGUUACAUGUGGUCAAGUCAGGGGAUGCCAUACCUGCUCCCAGCCUGAAUCCUGCAAUGUGUCAGGAGGAGCAGUGCAUUCAUAACGCAGCAACAAAGACUGGAGCACUGCUGAGACAGGUAGCAGAGCUCCUUCAUUAGUGGUCACUGUUAACCCCAUCCAGUCAGUGCUGAGCAAAACGAGGACUCUGCAAACUGCAGGUAAUAUUUCCUGCUGGCUCAGCUAUAGUCAUUUAUGCAGCUUUUAGGGCGGUUUGGUGUUUUUUUUCUUUCUUUUUCUGUUCCUUGCUUUUGGUGAGAUGCUAAUAAUCCGUGCAAACUCCCCCAUACACAACCAAUCUCCAUCAGAUGAUGAGACAAAAGGCUGAGAUAAGCCCCACUUCUAGCUAUACACUGUUAAAACGGGAAAAGAAAUCUGUUCAGAGAUUUUGCAAUGCAUAUGC
rnacentral:lncRNA from 1 species